UAUAGUGUUUCAGAUUCAGAGACAUCAGCGAUGUCAUCUUCAAGAUCGUCACACGAGGAGAGUACACAUAUACCACCAGUAUUGGAAAAGAAAGGGGUCAUCAAGAUCGACAGUAGACCAGCAG